rnacentral:rRNA from 1 species
CUACCAUGCAGUCGAGGGGUAUAGGUUUUCGGACCUAGAGACCGGCGCACGGGUGCGUAACGCGUAUGCAAUCUACCUUUUACAGAGGGAUAGCCCAGAGAAAUUUGGAUUAAUACCUCAUAGUAUUAUUGAAUGGCAUCAUUUAAUAAUUAAAGUCACAACGGUAAAAGAUGAGCAUGCGUCCCAUUAGCUUGUUGGUAAGGUAACGGCUUACCAAGGCAACGAUGGGUAGGGGUCCUGAGAGGGAGAUCCCCCACACUGGUACUGAGACACGGACCAGACUCCUACGGGAGGCAGCAGUGAGGAAUAUUGGUCAAUGGGCGCAAGCCUGAACCAGCCAUGCCGCGUGCAGGAUGAAGCAUCUAUGGUGUGUAAACUGCUUUUGUACGAGAAGAAACACUCCUUCGUGAAGGAGCUUGACGGUAUCGUAAGAAUAAGGACCGGCUAACUCCGUGCCAGCAGCCGCGGUAAUACGGAGGGUCCAAGCGUUAUCCGGAAUCAUUGGGUUUAAAGGGUCCGUAGGCGGUUUUGUAAGUCAGUGGUGAAAGCCCAUCGCUCAACGGUGGAACGGCCAUUGAUACUGCAAGACUUGAAUUAUUAGGAAGUAACUAGAAUAUGUAGUGUAGCGGUGAAAUGCUUAGAUAUUACAUGGAAUACCAAUUGCGAAGGCAGGUUACUACUAAUAUAUUGACGCUGAUGGACGAAAGCGUGGGGAGCGAACAGGAUUAGAUACCCUGGUAGUCCACGCCGUANACGAUGGAUACUAGCUGUUCGGAGCAAUCUGAGUGGCUAAGCGAAAGUGAUAAGUAUCCCACCUGGGGAGUACGUUCGCAAGAAUGAAC